rnacentral:rRNA from 1 species
UUAUAAAAAAAAAAUAAUUAAUAGAAAAUUAAAUGAGAUCAUUAAAUUUAAAUAAUUUGGCGGUAUUUUAAAUAGUUAGAGGAAUUUGUUAGUUAAAUGAUACUCCACGAAUGGAAUGUCCUGAUGUAGUUUUUAUAUAUUGUUGUAUUAAAAUUAUUUUAUAAGAAUAAUAAUUAAUAUAUUAAGUUUAAUUUGAAUUCAAAUCAAAAUGUAGAAUUAUUAGGAUUAAAUGAAUUACAAUUUAAUAAAAUAUUAGAAUUAUUUCUUUAAUUAGAAUAAUAAAAGAGGAUUUAAAAGUAAAUUUGAAUAAAUAUUUAAAUUGAAAUUUAAUUAAA